rnacentral:misc_RNA from 1 species
GGAGUUUCAAAAGUUUUAACUUCAGAGCAGUCAUUAGACUCAUAAUCAAGAAUCACUGGGGAAUCAGACGGAUGAACAUGAGACUUACCCAGGCGACAAUGUUUCAUAUUAGAUGUCGCAACACUUGUCAGUUUGACUGUAUUCGCACUUCGAGUCACUGGUUUGCGCAAAUAGGCUUGUUUGACUGCAAUAUGUUUGCGUGGCCGUCU